rnacentral:rRNA from 1 species
AGCUUGCUCCCUGAUGUUAGCGGCGGACGGGUGAGUAACACGUGGGUAACCUGCCUGUAAGACUGGGAUAACUCCGGGAAACCGGGGCUAAUACCGGAUGGUUGUUUGAACCGCAUGGUUCAAACAUAAAAGGUGGCUUCGGCUACCACUUACAGAUGGACCCGCGGCGCAUUAGCUAGUUGGUGAGGUAACGGCUCACCAAGGCAACGAUGCGUAGCCGACCUGAGAGGGUGAUCGGCCACACUGGGACUGAGACACGGCCCAGACUCCUACGGGAGGCAGCAGUAGGGAAUCUUCCGCAAUGGACGAAAGUCUGACGGAGCAACGCCGCGUGAGUGAUGAAGGUUUUCGGAUCGUAAAGCUCUGUUGUUAGGGAAGAACAAGUACCGUUCGAAUAGGGCGGUACCUUGACGGUACCUAACCAGAAAGCCACGGCUAACUACGUGCCAGCAGCCGCGGUAAUACGUAGGUGGCAAGCGUUGUCCGGAAUUAUUGGGCGUAAAGGGCUCGCAGGCGGUUUCUUAAGUCUGAUGUGAAAGCCCCCGGCUCAACCGCGGAGGGUCAUUGGAA